rnacentral:ncRNA from 2 species
CGGACCAACUCUGGAGAGCGGCCCCAGGCGGGCCCACCGAAGGGGCAGGCGGAUUCAAGCCGCUAUCUCUCAGGUAUCGAGGACAGAGGGGUGCAG